CAGUCGCCGCGGUAAUACGAAGGGGGCUAGCGUUGUUCGGAUUUACUGGGCGUAAAGCGCACGUAGGCGGAUCGAUCAGUCAGGGGUGAAAGCCCGGAGCUCAACUCCGGAAUUGCCUUUAAGACUGCAGAGCUAGCAGGUGAGAGAGGUGAGUGGAAUUCCGAGUGUAGAGGUGAAAUUCGUAGAUAUUCGGAAGAACACCAGUGGCGAAGGCGGCUCACUGGACGACUGUUGACGCUGAGGUGCGAAAGCGUGGGAAGCAAACUGGAUUAGAUACCCGCGUAGUCCCUGUCUCUUAUAC
rnacentral:rRNA from 1 species